rnacentral:rRNA from 1 species
GAUGAACGCUGGCGGCGUGCCUAACACAUGCAAGUCGAGCGGCAGCGAGGGGUGCUUGCACCCUGUCGGCGAGCGGCGGAAGGCUGAGUAACGCGUGGGAACGUGCCCCAAAGUGAGGAAUAACUGCCCGAAAGGGUAGCUAAUACCGCAUAUUAUCUUCGGAUCAAAGGAUUUAUCCGCUUUGGGAGCGGCUCGCGUCGGAUUAGGUAGUUGGUGAGGUAAUGGCUCACCAAGCCGACGAUCCGUAGCUGGUCUGAGAGGAUGACCAGCCAGACUGGAACUGAGACACGGUCCAGACUCCUACGGGAGGCAGCAGUGAGGAAUCGUCCACAAUGGGCGAAAGCCUGAUGGAGCAGCGCCGCGUGCAGGGCGAAGGCCUUCGGGUUGUAAACUGCUUUUAUAAGUGAGGAAUAUGGCGGUAACUGAUGAAUAAGGAUCGGCUAACUACGUG